UGCCAGCCGCCGCGGUAAUACGGGGGGCGCAAGCGUUAUUCGGAAUUAUUGGGCGUAAAGGGCGCGUAGGCGGUUCUGUCGGUCAGAUGUGAAAGCCCGGGGCUCAACCCCGGACGUGCAUUUGAAACAGCAGAACUUGAGUACGGGAGAGGAAAGCGGAAUUCCUGGUGUAGAGGUGAAAUUCGUAGAUAUCAGGAGGAACACCGAUGGCGAAGGCAUCUCUCUGGGCCGAUAUUGACGCUGAGGCGCGAAGGCGUGGGUAGCAAACGGGAUUAGAUA
rnacentral:rRNA from 1 species